AUACGUAGGGGGCGAGCGUUGUCCGGAAUUACUGGGCGUAAAGGGUGCGUAGGCGGCUUUGUAAGUCAGAUGUGAAAUCCCACGGCUUAACUGUGGUAAGCAUUUGAAACUGCAAGGCUUGAGUGCAGGAGAGGAGAGUGGAAUUCCUAGUGUAGCGGUGAAAUGCGUAGAUAUUAGGAGGAAUACCAGUGGCGAAGGCGACUCUCUGGACUGUAACUGACGCUGAUGCACGAAAGCGUGGGGAGCAAACAGGAUUAGAUACCCUGGUAGUCCACGCCGUAAACGAUGAGUGCUAGGUGUUGGAGGGGACACCCUUCGGUGCCGAAGUUAACACAUUAAGCACUCCGCCUGGGGAGUACGGUCGCAAGACUGAA
rnacentral:rRNA from 1 species